rnacentral:rRNA from 1 species
GGUUCGAUCCUGGUCACUGAACGCUGGCGGAUGCUUUACACAUGCAAGUCGAACGGCAGCACGACUUCGGUCUGGUGGCGAGUGGCGAACGGGUGAGUAACGGUUCGGAAACGUGCCUAGUAGCGGGGAUAACUACGCGAAAGCGUGUUAAUACCGCAUACGUUCUUCGGGGGAAAGUGGGGACCUUCGGGCCUCGCACUAUUAGGAGCGGCUGAGCACGGAUUAAAUAGUUGGUGGGGUAACGGCUCACCAAGGCGACGAUCCGUAGCUGGUUUGAGAGACGACCAGCCACACCGGGACUGAGACACGGCCUGUGACUCCCAUGGAUGCGGCAGUGGGAAAUUUUGGACAAUGGGGGAAACCCUGAUCCAGCCAUCCGCGUGUGCGAUGAAGGCCUUCGGGUUGUAAAGCACUUUUGGCAGAAAGAAACGGCACGGGAUAAUACCCUUUUUGCAACCGGACGUUGGUACCAGAAUAAGCACCGGCUAACUACGUGUCAGCAGCCGCGGUAAUAAUGUAGGGUGCGCGUUAAUCGGAAUUACUGGGCGUAAAGCGUGCGCAGGCGGUUCGGAAAGAAAGAUGUGAAAUCCCCAGAGCUUAACUUUGAAACUAUAUUUUUAACUACCGAGCUAGAUGCGUCAGAGGGAGGUGGAAUUCCGCGUGUGGCAGGAAAUGCAGAUAUGCGGAGGAACACCGAUGGCGAAGGCAGCCUCCGGGAUAACACUGACGCCUGCGCAUCGAAAGCGUGGGGAGCAAACAGGAUUGAUACUCCGUAGUCCACGCCCCAAACGACGUCAACUAGCUGUUGGGGCCGGCCUUGUAAAGCAGCUAACGCGUUGACCGCCUGGGGAGUACGGUCGCAAGAUUAAAACUCAAAGGAAUUGACGGGGACCCGCACGUUGCGGAUGAUGUGGAUUAAUUGAUGCAACGCGAAAAACCUUACUCACUGACAUGUCUGGAAUCCCGGAAGAGAUUUGGGAGUGCUCGCAAGAGAACCGGAACACAGGUGCCGUGGCUGGCUGCCGUCAGCUCGUGUCGUGAGAUGCUGUUGUCCCGCAACGAGCGCAACCUAUGUCAUUAGUUGCUACGAAAGGGCACUUAAUGAGACUGCCGGUGACAAACCGAGGAAGGUGAUGACGUCAAGUCCUCAUUGGCCCUUGCGGUAGGGUUUCAGCACGUCAUACAAUGGUCGGGACAGUGGUCGCCAACCCGCGAGGGGAGCCAAUCCCAGAAACCCGAUCGGUCCGGAUCGCCUGCAACUCGACUGCGUGAAGUCGGAAUCGCUAGUAAUCGCGGAUCAGCAUGUCGCGGUGAAUACGUUCCCGGGUCUGGUACACACCGCCCGUCACACCAUGGGAGUGGGUUUUACCAGAAGUAGUUAGCCUAACCGUAAGGAGGGCGAUUACCACGGUAGGAUUCAUGACUGGGGUGAAGUCGUAACAAGGCAA